rnacentral:rRNA from 1 species
UAUGUAGGCAGCGAGCGUUGUUCGGAAUUACUGGGCGUAAAGAGUGUGUAGGCGGUGUUCCAAGUCUGGUGUGAAAUCUCCCGGCUCAACUGGGAGGGUGCGCCGGAAACUGGAAUGCUAGAGGGUGGGAGAGGUAAGCGGAAUUCCCGGUGUAGCGGUGAAAUUCGUAGAUAUUCGGAAGAACACCAGUGGCGAAGGCGGCUCACUGGACUGGUAUUGACGCUGAGGUGCGAAAGCGUGGGGAGCAAACAGG